UACAGAGGUCUCAAGCGUUGUUCGGAUUCAUUGGGCGUAAAGGGUGCGUAGGUGGCGCCGUAAGUCAGGUGUGAAAUUUCGGAGCUUAACUCCGAAACUGCAUUUGAUACUGCGGUGCUUGAGGACUGGAGAGGAGACUGGAAUUCACGGUGUAGCAGUGAAAUGCGUAGAUAUCGUGAGGAAGACCAGUGGCGAAGGCGGGUCUCUGGACAGUUCCUGACACUGGAGG
rnacentral:rRNA from 1 species